GGACGGGUUUGGCAGGACGUUAC
rnacentral:siRNA from 1 species